CCGGUAAACGGCGGCCGUAACUAUAACGGUCCUAAGGUAGCGAAAUUCCUUGUCGGGUAAGUUCCGACCUGCACGAAUGGCGUAAUGAUGGCCAGGCUGUCUCCACCCGAGACUCAGUGAAAUUGAACUCGCUGUGAAGAUGCAGUGUACCCGCGGCAAGACGGAAAGACCCCGUGAACCUUUACUAUAGCUUGACACUGAACAUUGAGCCUUGAUGUGUAGGAUAGGUGGGAGGCUUAGAAGUGUGGACGCCAGUCUGCAUGGAGCCGACCUUGAAAUACCACCCUUUAAUGUUUGAUGUUCUAACGUUGACCCGUAAUCCGGGUUGCGGACAGUGUCUGGUGGGUAGUUUGACUGGGGCGGUCUCCUCCUAAAGAGUAACGGAGGAGCACGAAGGUUGGCUAAUCCUGGUCGGACAUCAGGAGGUUAGUGCAAUGGCAUAAGCCAGCUUGACUGCGAGCGUGACGGCGCGAGCAGGUGCGAAAGCAGGUCAUAGUGAUCCGGUGGUUCUGAAUGGAAGGGCCAUCGCUCAACGGAUAAAAGGUACUCCGGGGAUAACAGGCUGAUACCGCCCAAGAGUUCAUAUCGACGGCGGUGUUUGGCACCUCGAUGUCGGCUCAUCACAUCCUGGGGCUGAAGUAGGUCCCAAGGGUAUGGCUGUUCGCCAUUUAAAGUGGUACGCGAGCUGGGUUUAGAACGUCGUGAGACAGUUCGGUCCCUAUCUGCCGUGGGCGCUGGAGAACUGAGGGGGGCUGCUCCUAGUACGAGAGGACCGGAGUGGACGCAUCACUGGUGUUCGGGUUGUCAUGCCAAUGGCACUGCCCGGUAGCUAAAUGCGGAAGAGAUAAGUGCUGAAAGCAUCUAAGCACGAAACUUGCCCCGAGAUGAGUUCUCCCUGACUCCUUGAGAGUCCUGAAGGAACGUUGAAGACGACGACGUUGAUAGGCCGGGUGUGUAA
rnacentral:rRNA from 1 species